rnacentral:rRNA from 1 species
UACGUAGGGGGCUAGCGUUGUCCGGAAUCAUUGGGCGUAAAGCGCGUGUAGGCGGUCCGGUAAGUCCGCUGUGAAAGUCGGGGGGCUCAACCUCGGAUGCCGGUGGAUACUGUCGGGCUUGAGUACGGAAGAGGCGAGUGGAAUUCCUGGUGUAGCGGUGAAAUGCGCAGAUAUCAAGGAGGAACACCGAUGGCGAAGGCAG